UUGCAAGGGAAUAUGCAGCACUGCUAGAUUUCUCAGCAUUAUAGAGUCUGGGCCAAGGGAGACAGAGUACUGUGUGAUCGACCUGGGAACACUACCUUAUCUGAUAAAGGCUCCUUAGAUAAUAAUUAUCAAUUCCGUGAUAUAAAUACCAGCCAGGAGAACUAAGCUCAGCUGAGGUCCCUUCGGAUCAUUGCAGAGACAUACCUUUGAUAUCGGUGACAGAAACAUAUUUCAUGUCUUCAUAAACGUCAGCAUGAACACUAUACCUUGUUUAAUCUUCCAGAAACUCUAUGAAUGAUGAAUGACGACAAUUUUUUUGAAGAUAUUAAAUAUAUUCUGUCGUGCCUGAGAUAUGGGUGUGUUGUGUGGUUAAAACUGGGAGAGAGGAGUAGAGUGAUUAAGUGGUGAAAUUCUUGAGAACAGGUGCAGUGUGCCUCGACCAUUACAAGGAUGUACACAGUGUAGGGGAGAGGUGUGAGCCAACACGUUGAUGUUGAUUCUAUAAAUGUCAAUUUCACACCGGAUUGUGACAUACUGAGUGAUAAGCCUUUAACUUGAUCAUCAGUAAAACAAACACUCACACAGAUCUAUAUCAGAGGAAGGAAGAUCACAGCUGACCCCACGAAGAUUGAGUGAAAAGCUCUGAGCUGAUCAGACAUAAAUGUUACCAGACUCAAAACUGAGAGGAUCUCAGCUGAUCAGACAUAAGUGUUGCCAGACUCAAAACUGAGAGGAUCUCAGCUGAUCAGACGUAAGUGUUACCAGACUCAAAACUGAAAGGCUCUGUGCUGAUCAGACAUAAAUCUUUGGAGACUCACAACUUACAAGUUCACAACUGAUUGAAAACUCUCCGAUAAGGAAAUUGAGUGCCAUAAAUGAGGUUCAAAACAGAAGAGAAAGAUUACGAAAGCCAUCGAUUAAGACAAUUAUGGGCUUGUAUGUGUAAAGACAGAGAGUCUCUACUGGAAUGAUAUUACUACACUCAUGGCUUUCGAAACAGUGAAAAUUGCAGCGCAAGAUGGACAUGCUACAUCUGAAUACAAGCUUCAUACCUGAAGAAGACUACCCUCAUGAAACUAGCCAACAUGGUGUCAGCAUGCAUUUCCGAGAAUGUUCAGUGUUCCUUCUAUCCAGUUGAUCAACAGACAGGAAUUAUCUGUGACAGGUCGCCAAUGGAGAGGUUUCACAUUCAGUGUGUUGGUUUGUGUGUAUAAAUGGAGCUGUCGGAAAUAUGGAGUUAUAGUACGAUUCUCUAGGAAAUGAAUAUCAUUCCAUAAAGAACAACCAGACAGGUCAACAAUACUACAGGCUGACACCAUAGGACCAUGAAUGACAUUGCAAUACAUAAGGCUCCCGGGAGUAUGGUACAUUAUCCCACUAUCAUGUUGUCCUAAAGGUACAGUGGAGGGAUUCACCUGGCUAGGAGCUUAUACACCUGUUCAAGAGUCCCUACAAAUGGAUACCAUGAUAAUAGUUUUACCUGUGGACAGUAACAGGGAUAAGUGUUGAUACACCUGUGGAAGUAAACCUGUGAUGAUACACCAGGAUACCUAGCUGUGGAGAUGCACACCUGGACCCAUGGAGUCACACCCGGAAAUAUACCUGGAGAUACACCCAGAGGAUGUGUACUCUUAUCAACGAUUCACCGUUAACGGAUAACCUCUGACAGGUACAAUACCUGUCUCUAUACCUGUUGAUGGAUAUAUUUUGCCAGUAAUUAGUGUCUGAGGAAAGUGUGUUAUACAUUCCUAUGAAUGUCUUUUGUGGAGGUAUACACGAUAUGUGAUUUCGUGUGUUGUGUAUUAAAUAUAGUUCUGUAUUCCAACAGGAUAAAUGUGGGAUUCAUUUCCUUGUUGCUUUGUAUUCCAACAGGAGAGAAAUGUGGGAUUUAUACCUUUGGAUUAAAAUAGGCUUUAGGCCAACAUCACAUCAGCAACAUACACAAUCUCAAUAAGCUGAUGGUGACUUUUCUGGUCGUAGGAAUGAUAUACUGGUGAGGAGGCAGAUCCUUAAGGGGAUACAACUACUUCGGCUAGACUACCUAUCACCUACCACAAAGGAACUUCAUAGGCUAUUACCAUAAGGCUUAUGAAGUGUCAGGGAAUGGAAUCCAGCAUUAACGAUGGCUCAAGAAAAUACACAUUGUUUUCAAAGGAGAUGAAAGAGCAGACGUUCAAAUGACAUUGAUUGCAAUAACCAUGGCAAUGGGGUGUGCAGCUGUUACAGACUCAGAGCAUUGAUAGCAACCAGUGAUGAAGAGGAGACCAGGGGUCCACAAAUGGUCUCGCAUGCUGGCUACCAGGGUUCACAAACGUAAGGAAAAGAAAGUACAUGUGGAUUGGGCAGGAAGCAAAACUGAUGAGGAAGAGAAAGAUGGUAGAGGAUGAUUGACAGCUGGGAGGCGUGGCCAAUAGCAGGAAGCAUUUACAGCAGCAGCAGCACAGGACACAGGUCAAAGUACAACAGUUACCACGACGACUAAGGAUAUGAGUGGUACUCACUUGAUUGGGUUGGCCCUGCAUCAUCCCGGGGUUGUGUUGAGGCUGUGAAUGAGGGGACGGCUGGGAAGCUGGAGGCUAGCAAGACAACGGGCGCGUCAUUAACGUGUCGACAAGACAACAGUAUUGUUGUUAAUGUGUCAUAACAUAUACGAGGGAUCAACAUGUCAAUAGUUUGUCAGACAGACAACAGGACCUAAAUAAGGUGUUUUCAUAGCAGUGUCAGUAUGGUCCAACAGUCACUGAUACAAUACAAAAUGUACCCAGAGUAGCAGUAUCAUGUCUCUAUGUCAUUGACAAAUUUUAAUCAAUCUUUAUUUUAUUUUGCCCGACAUAAAUGUCAAAUAAAAUGGACUAACAAUUAAUGAGCUUUGAAGUGUAACUGUUACCAAGACCACCGUCAUUAACAUGCAACAGGUGUGACCAAGACAACUGUCAUUAACAUAGAACAGGUGUGACAAUGACAACUGUCAUUAAUAUACAACAGGUGUGACCAUGACAACAGUCAUUAAUAUACAACAGGUGUAACCAAGACAACAGUCAUUAACAUACAACAGGUGUGACCAUGACAACUGUCAUUAACAUACAACAGGUGUGAUUAUGACAACUGUCAUUAACAUACAACAGUUGUGACCAUGACAACAGUCAUUAACAUACAACAGGUGUGACCAUGACAACUGUAACAAACAACAGUUGUGACCAUGACUACUGUCAUUAACAUACAACAGGUGUGACCAAGACAACAGUCAUUAACAUACAACAGUUGUGACCAUGAUAACAGUCAUUAACAUACAACAGUUGUGACCAUGACAACUGUAACAAACAACAGUUGUGACCAUGACUACUGUCAUUAACAUACAACAGGUGUGACCAAGACAACAGUCAUUAACAUACAACAGGUGUGACCAUGACAACAGUCAUUAACAUACAACAGUUGUGACCAUGACAACAGUCAUUAACAUACAACAGUUGUGACCAUGACAACAGUCAUUAACAUACAACAGGUCUGACCAUGAUAACAGUCAUUAACAUACAACAGGUGUGACCAUGACAACUGUAACAAACAACAGUUGUGACCAUGACAACAGUCAUUAACACACAGCAGUAGUGACCGUGACAACAGUCAUUAACAUACAACAGGUGUGACUAUGCAACUGUCAUUAACAUACAACAGGUGUGACCAUGACAACAGUCAUCAACAUACAACAGGUGUGACCAUGACAACUGUAACAAACAACAGUUGUGACCAUGACAACAGUCAUUAACAUACAACAGGUGUGACCAAGACAAGUCAUUAACAUACAACAGGUGUGACCAAGACAACAGUCAUUAACAUACAACAGGUGCGAUCAUGACAACUGUCAUGAAUAUACAACAGUUGUGACCAUGACAACUGUCAUUAACAUACAACAGGUGCGACAGCCUUAUAUACGAUAUUAACUAAUGUCUCUCAACACUACCGACGUUUAAAACUGUCUGUAUUAUCAAUGUCACCAAAAUGUUUGUAACUAGUGUCAAGGUCUAUUUGUCUGCCAAGUCACUAAAUGACAAAAGACUCCAGUGAAACAAGUAGAUAGCACUGUAUACAACUUAUAUCUGUCCUGUCUUAUUGUGGGCAAGUUAUGUACAUGCAAGUCGCUAUCAAGCAAUGCGUUAUUUUGUGUGUUAAUACAAAGUGCUACUGUUCCCCAUAAGCUGAAUCAGUCACAAUACUGACAUCACAAAAUUAACCCACAGAAUAACACACUGACUUGUAGCAGUAGUUUACACAGGGCAAGCCAACACUUUAAGACAGGAUAGAGGAGAACGCCACCAUGCGCCUCCUAAAGUAGACAGAAGUCAUCAUGCGUCGCCUAUAAGUGUCUGCAGGCUGUGUGUUUUCAGAUGUCAAGUUUUAUAGUGUUGCUAUAUAAAUGUGCAUACAUAGUUCAAAUAUUUUUUGUACAUGACAAAUUUUGACUGAAAUUCUCAGUUAUCUGAACAAAUAAAAUAUGUUAUCUACAUCACAAUCACAUUUUUGCAUUUUUUGAUUAAGCUCAUGUAUGCAAUUUAACAAAACAUGUAUUUUUGUCUCAAUAAAGCUGUUUCAAGAAAUUAAGGAAAAAUAUUCUUGCAUUAAAUUUAUUUCAGUCAAAAAAUGGAAAUAAAUUCUAUAACAAAAUGUA